rnacentral:rRNA from 1 species
AGCGAACGCUGGCGGCAGGCUUAACACAUGCAAGUCGAACGGUCCUUCGGGAUAGUGGCGGACGGGUGAGUAACACGUGGGAACGUACCCUUAGGUUCGGAACAACACAGGGAAACUUGUGCUAAUACCGGAUAAGCCCUUCGGGGGAAAGAUUUAUCGCCUUUGGAGCGGCCCGCGUCUGAUUAGCUUGUUGGUGAGGUAAUGGCUCACCAAGGCUACGAUCAGUAGCUGGUCUGAGAGGAUGGCCAGCCACACUGGGACUGAGACACGGCCCAGACUCCUACGGGAGGCAGCAGUGGGGAAUCUUGCGCAAUGGGCGAAAUCCUGACGCGGCCAUGCCGCGUGGAUGGUGAAGGUCUUAGGAUCGUAAAAUCCUUUCACCGGGGACGAUAAUGACGGUACCCGGAGAAGAAGCCCCGGCUAACUUCGUGCCAGCAGCCGCCGUAA